AGCAGUCGCCGCGGGAAUACCGAGGGUGCAAGCGUUACUCGGAAUUACUGGGCGUAAAGCGUGCGUAGGUGGUGGUUUAAGUCCGUUGUGAAAGCCCUGGGCUCAACCUGGGAAUUGCAGUGGAUACUGGGUCACUAGAGUGUGGUAGAGGAUAGUGGAAUUUCCGGUGUAGCAGUGAAAUGCGUAGAGAUCGGAAGGAACAUCUGUGGCGAAGGCGACUAUCUGGGCCAACACUGACGCUGAGGCACAAAAGCGUGGGGAGCAAACAGGAUUAGAUACCCCGGUAGUCCCUGUCUCUUAUAA
rnacentral:rRNA from 1 species